UAGUUUUUGGACGACAGGGGCACCAAUGUCCCAAAAGUAUGACGGAGGGUAUCUGCAUACCAUUUACGAUAGUUCGGGGGUAUAUUUAUCCUUUUUCCUAUUAUUAUUUUAUAAAGGGAAAAAGGACAAAUAUACCCUUAAACUAUCAUAAAUGGUAUGUAGAUACCCUCUGUCAUACUUUUGAGACAUUGGUGCCCUGCCGUCCAAAAAAUAGA